UGAAUGCUCAUCUAGGACUUAAAGGAAAAAGGAUCAUGGUUCAUCAUCAUGGUCUUCGAUGGCGCCCUCCAUAACGAAAUGUUGUUACUGAAGAGACAGGACUCACCCCGGGGCCCAGAGCCGGCACGGUCAGAGGAUUUCCUCCUGUCCAACCUGAUUGCAAUGGUCCUGUUGAUAGUUAGUUUAAAUGAAACCACAUGGACAACACGCAGACACACACACAAAUAUACGCACACACACACACACACACACACACCAGUGACGAGCAGUGUGUUUUGACAUAAGGCAUGCUGAUGAGAUGGUGCGUGAAAGUGUAGUAUCCUCGAAAAUGUGUAAUUUAGCCGAGUCACUGGGGGCAUUGUCACGUGAACAAAAUGCUCAGGCGUAAUCUGCUUUGCUUCCAACAAACAUUCAGCGCUUUGAAUGUGUGUCAAAAUUGUGAACCGUUUUUUCCCCAUUAUUUGUAAAUGUUUAUGUGAAACUCGAGGUGUGGUGAGAGAAAGGCUGUAACAUCUCGGAAUCCAGGAGAAGCUAAGCAAGGCUGGCACAGUUAAAAAAAAAAAAAAAAACUCUUAUCAAAGCUAUGCCGGAGACUUUUGGAAACAAGAGCAGAGCUGAAAUGACUAUUUUACUCAAUGGACGAUUAGAGGAUAUAACAUUAAUGGGCGUAGCUAUAGUUCUGGCGGGACUCUCUAGUCAUGCGCUCCCCAUCAGCUGACUGAUAAUGUAGUCCAAUCAAAUGCACAUACACUGAAAGAAGGUACAUUUAAGACCUUCCAUCUAAAACAACCACUCUGCAAAGUUAAGUGUGGUGAGCCCACCACCGCCAUAGCCUCCACCUGCUUUAGUUCUGCUCUACAUUGUACCAAAACAAUGGGUUGAGAGAUAUCUGGCUUACCCCUUGCAUAUUGCUCCCUGUUGUCAAAUGUUGGAAUGCUGUUGGUAUUCUGUGUAUGACAUGUAAUGAACCUACAUUUAUAUUUUAUUUCUACAUUGUUUUGUUUUAUUUUGACAUAAUUCUGUAUUUUAUUUGUGGUCAUAAGGUCAUCUUAUUUAAUUUUGUCAAUCAUCAGUUCAACAUGCGUGGUUAGGGUUAGAGAUUGGUGAUUGUUCCAUUCCUGAUUUCAUGCGAUAUAUAGCGCGGAGAAUUCCGGAAGGGACGGGCUUGACUCUCUCCGCUCUAGUGGAUGCCUUAUCGCUUGGACACGCCUUAUUGUUGGAAUUUGGACGCUCUUCACUCUCUCCGCUCUCGUGGAUGCCCUAUCGUUUGGACGCUCUCCGACGCUCCGUGGUCGCGAUGGACAUUAUUGGACUUCAUAAGCACAUUCUUCUGAAAGUGAACCUUUGUGUUUAGGAAAGAGGGGAAAAGUAGUGUAACAUUGUGAACUAUGAAAACCUUGAUGCCGAAGUUUUUCAGAUAAAUAUUUGAAACUCA